AACGUCUAUUAUAUUGACCCGGUAUUUUUUCAAGGAAAAUUUAUCGAUCAUCGGAUAAAAGGUACGCUAGGGAUAACAGGCUAAUGAAUCUUGAGAGUUCUUAUUGAUGGGUUUGUUUGGCACCUCGAUGUCGAC
rnacentral:rRNA from 1 species